rnacentral:rRNA from 1 species
UAUAAAAAGAGUCAACCCUGUUCGGCAGAGUAACUGUUGACAUUAUAGUUGCGCAGUAACUUUGUUGACUCUAGAGAACCUCGGGCAAAUCGUACAUCCCCGUGGCGGCGACUUUAUAUGCAGAUGUCAUCCAUAUCAACUUUCGAUGCCAGUUUCUGCGCCUACCAUGGUUACUAUGGGUAACGGGGAAUCAGGGUUCCAUUCUGUACAGGGACCCUGAGAAACGGCUACCACAUGCAAGGAAGGCAGCUGGCGCACAAAUCACCCCCCCCUCCUGAUGCAGGAACGUAGUGAUG